CGUGGACUUACGAACCACGUUUAUAUAUGCAACCUCAAAUCCUCAAUUGAUGGCAAAUCAGCAAAUUUUAGUUAUCAUGCGACUGAUUGCUGUGGUUGGUCGCAAAAUGUUUAUGCAAGCAAAUUUAAUUGCAAGUAGCGGUCGUAGAUAUUUCUACGUAAACGAACAUAGCCUUUUUCAUUGAAGUAGCUCCAAUCCGGAUUAAGGAAAGCAUUUCUUAUAAAGAUAAUAAAUUAAUAAAAACAACAAUCGUUAUAUUGAUCAGACAAUCUAAACUGCAGUUACCUUAUUAAUUUUACCCAACAAAAUAGAACAGCCUGAUGAUUUAGUGAUUCAACCUUCCUAGUGAUCAGACAAUCUAAACUGCAGUCCAUGACCGUUGUCCGUUGACAUUUAAAAGAAAAAGUAAGACUGACCCAGUUUACCCAGAUUAACUUGUCGGCACACGUUUAUUCCCUUUAAAUGGGCCCCAUGAAUAUAGGCCCAAUAAAAUAAUGAUAAGCUCUAAUCCAUUCAUAUCUCUCAUUUUAUUUGUUACUGCAUUUGCACAGUACUGAUCCGUUGCGGGUCCCACAUUAACACUUUCGUUUCG
rnacentral:lncRNA from 1 species